GGCAGUCUGGCUGCAACAUUGUUGCUCCAUGGAUGCCACGGUUGACUGCUGAUCUGGCUGGCUAGGCAAUUGUCCUCUCAAAGCUGCACGCUGGGAGGGACCUUUCCCACACACAAUAGAGGAGGGCUGGUCUUGGGUCAAGGCUAUAGGAGUAGCUGUGCUCCCUUCUAGACCUUCCAAGUAAGCUCUCAAGGUCCACCCGAACUUUCUAGCUGGAAACUCAUCCACAACAGAGCGAGGAAUGAGGAUGU
rnacentral:snRNA from 1 species